rnacentral:rRNA from 1 species
AACGUGCCCAGUCGUGGGGGAUAACGUAGCGAAAGCUACGCUAAUACCGCAUACGAUCUACGGAUGAAAGCGGGGGACUCGCAAGAGCCUCGCGCGAUUGGAGCGGCCGAUAUCAGAUUAGGUUGUUGGCGAGGUAAAAGCUCACCAAGCCUGCGAUCUGUAGCUGGUCUGAGAGGACGACCAGCCACACUGGAACUGAGACACGGUCCAGACUCCUACGGGAGGCAGCAGUGGGGAAUUUUGGACAAUGGACGCAAGUCUGAUCCAGCAAUGCCGCGUGCAG